rnacentral:rRNA from 1 species
AUUGAACGCUGGCGGCAGGCCUAACACAUGCAAGUCGAGCGGAGCGGCGGACGGGUGAGUAAUGCCUAGGAAUCUGCCUGGUAGUGGGGGAUAACGUCCGGAAACGGGCGCUAAUACCGCAUACUAUCAGAUGAGCCUAGGUCGGAUUAGCGCUGUGGUGGGGUAAAGGCCUACCAAGGCGACGAACCGUAACUGGUCGGAGAGGAUGAUCAGUCACACUGGAACUGUGACACGGUCCAGCAUCCUCCGGGAGGAAGCAGUGGGGAAUAUUGCACAAUGGGCGCAAGCCUGAUGCAGGCAUGCCGCGUGUAUGAAGUAGGCCUUCGGGUUGUAAAGUACUUUCAGCGGGGAGGCGUUACCCGCAGAAGAAGCACCGGCUAACUCCGUGCCAGCAGCCGCGGUAAUUC